rnacentral:rRNA from 1 species
UGUGAUUAAAAAAAUACUUGAGUAGUAUGAGUUAUGUUCUUUAAACUUAAAGAAUUUGGCGGUGCUUUAGUCUGUUCAGAGGAACCUGUCCUGUAAUCGAUAGUCCACGUAGGAUCUUACUUAAUUUUGUUAUCAGCUUAUAUACCGCCGUCGUCAGAAUGUCUUUAGAAAGAUGGAAUUUUCUUAAAUUUUUAUUAAAAAUGAUGUCAGGUCAAGGUGUAGUUUAUAAUUAAGUAGUGAUGGGUUACAAUAAAUUUAUUUAAAUGGAUUAUUUUUUGAAAAAGGGGUAUGAAGGUGGAUUUGAGUGUAAUUUUGUUUAUAAUGUUAAUUUGAUUUUAGCUCUAAA